rnacentral:rRNA from 1 species
AUUGAACGCUGGCGGCAGGCCUAACACAUGCAAGUCGAGCGAGCGGCGGACGGGUGAGUAAUGUAUGGGGAACUGCCCGAUGGAGGGGGAUAACUACUGGAAACGGUAGCUAAUACCGCAUACCAUCGGAUGAGCCCAUAUGGGAUUAGCUAGUAGGUGGGGUAACGGCUCACCUAGGCGACGAUCCCUAGCUGGUCUGAGAGGAUGAUCAGCCACACUGGAACUGAGACACGGCCCAGACUCCUACGGGAGGCAGCAGUGGGGAAUAUUGCACAAUGGGCGCAAGCCUGAUGCAGCCAUGCCGCGUGUAUGAAGAAGGCCUUAGGGUUGUAAAGUACUUUCAGCGGGGAGGCGUUACCCGCAGAAGAAGCACCGGCUAACUCCGUGCCAGCAGCCGCGGUAAUAC